rnacentral:lncRNA from 1 species
CGCCGUUUUAGUUAAAAAAAUUUAGAUUUUGUGGCGUUUUCAUAGAACGCCACUAAUAAAAAUAACAACAAAGUAUAAAACGACAGCAUUUUGCUUCCAUGGAUAAUUGUGGCGUUUUUCAAUAAAACGCCGGUAAACUUUAAUAUCAUUUAGCCUUUAUAUUUUUAUAAUAUUAUUAAUUAAUCAAAAUACUUAAUAUUAUUAACACUAAUUAAUCAAAACUCUAUACCUUAAACCAUUAAACUAUAUCCCUAUAACCUUAAUCCCUAAAGUAUAUCCC